rnacentral:rRNA from 1 species
CAUGCAGUCGAACGGAAACGACAGGAGCUUGCUCCUGGGCGUCGAGUGGCGGACGGGUGAGUAAUGCAUAGGAAUCUGCCCAUGUAGUGGGGGACAACCUGGGGAAACUCAGGCUAAUACCGCAUGAGCCCUUCGGGGGAAAGCAGGGGAUCUUCGGACCUUGCGCUAUUGGAUGAGCCUAUGUCUGAUUAGCUUGUUGGUGGGGUAACGGCCUACCAAGGCGACGAUCAGUAGCUGGUCUGAGAGGACGAUCAGCCACACUGGGACUGAGACACGGCCCAGACUCCUACGGGAGGCAGCAGUGGGGAAUAUUGGACAAUGGGCGCAAGCCUGAUCCAGCAAUGCCGCGUGUGUGAAGAAGGCCUGCGGGUUGUAAAGCACUUUCAGUGGGGAGGAAAAGCUCAAGGUUAAUAACCUUGGGUCUUGACGUUAUCCACAGAAGAAGCACCGGCUAACUCUGUGCCAGCAGCCGCGGUAAUACAGAGGGUGCAAGCGUUAAUCGGAAUUACUGGGCGUAAAGCGCGCGUAGGCGGUUUGUUAAGUCGGAUGUAAAAGCCCCGGGCUCAACCUGGGAACUGCAUUCGAUACUGGCAGGCUAGAGUAUGGUAGAGGGAAGUGGAAUUCCGGGUGUAGCGGUGAAAUGCGUAGAUAUCCGGAGGAACAUCAGUGGCGAAGGCGGCUUCCUGGACCAAUACUGACGCUGAGGUGCGAAAGCGUGGGCAUGCAGUCGCAUGCAGUCGCAUGCAGUCG